rnacentral:rRNA from 1 species
AGCAGCCGCGGUAAUUCCAGCUCCAAUAGCGUAUAUUAAAGUUGUUGCAGUUAAAGCUCGUAGUUGAAUUUCGGGUUCAAUACGUCGGUCGUGCUUUCGGGUACGUACUGGCGUCAUUGGUUUCCCCUUUCUGACGAACCAUGAUGUCAUUAAUUUGGUGUUAUGGGGAGUUAGGACUGUUACUUUGAAAAAUUAGAGUGUUUAAAGCAGGCAUUAGCUUGAAUACAUUAGCAUGGAAUAAUGAAAUAGGACGUUCGAUCCUAUUUUGUUGGUCUCUAGGAUCAACGUAAUGAUUAAUAGGGAUAGUUGGGGGCAUUAGUAUUCAAUUGUCAGAGGUGAAAUUCUUGGAUUUAUUGAAGACUAACUACUGCGAAAGCAUUUGCCAAGGAUGUUUUCAUUAAUCAAGAACGAAAGUUAGGGGAUCGAAGACGAUCAGAUACCGUCGUAGUCUUAACCAUAAACUAUGCCGACUAGGGAUCGGAUGAUGUUAAUUUUUUAAUGACUCAUUCGGCGCCUUACA